AUUGAACGCUGGCGGCAGGCCUAACACAUGCAAGUCGAACGGUAACAUGAAACAGCUUUCUGUUUCGCUUACGAGUGUCGGACGGGUGAGUAAUGUCUGGGAAACUGCCUGAUGGAGGGGGAUAACUACUGGAAACGGUAGCUAAUACCGCAUAACGUCUCAAGACCAAAGAGGGGGCCCUUCGUGCCUCUUGCCAUCAGAUGUGCCCAGAUGGGAUUAGAUAGUAGGUGGGGUAACGGCUUACCUAGGCGACGGUCCCUAGCUGGUCUGAUAGGGAGACCAGACACACUAGAAGAGAGACACGGUCCAGACUCCGACGGGGGGAAGCAGUGGGGAAUAUUGCACGAUGGGCGAAAGCCGGAUGCAGCAAUGCCGCGUGUAUGAAGAAGGCGUUAGGGUUGUAAAGUAAUUUCGGCGGGGAGGAAGGGAGGAACGUUAAUACGUUUGGUCAUUGACGGUACCCGCAGAAGAAGCACCGGCUAACUACGUG
rnacentral:rRNA from 1 species